rnacentral:ncRNA from 1 species
AGGAGCCGUAUGAGGUGAAAAUCUCAUCUACGGUUCUGUAAUAGCAAUGGUCACAGUGAUGUUAUCAUCGACUAUGAU